GCAUUGAAAAAGAGGAGAGGGAGAAAUAUUUCAGAGAUGAACAGUGCAAAACUACCAAUGUCAUUGAGGAAAAAGAUGCUAUGAUCAAGCAUUUGGAAGCAACUGUAUCUGUUACCAGAUUGGAUAUGGAGAGCUUAAACUCAAAGAUGGAAGAGUUGCAUGUUGGUUUGAAAUUUAAGGAGGACGACAUUCAAGUUUGAGAAUCUCAGAAGAGAUGUAGGAGAAAGAAAAGAAUGAUCUAAAAUGUGUGUAAGUGACAUUGAAUGAAUUGACAAAAAAAAUGUAGAUAUCCCUCACGAGAAUGGAGGACAAGGUGAGGAUGAGGGACACGAAGAAGAG